UACGGAGGAUCCGAGCGUUAUCCGGAUUUAUUGGGUUUAAAGGGAGCGUAGGUGGAUUGUUAAGUCAGUUGUGAAAGUUUGCGGCUCAACCGUAAAAUUGCAGUUGAAACUGGCAGUCUUGAGUACAGUAGAGGUGGGCGGAAUUCGUGGUGUAGCGGUGAAAUGCUUAGAUAUCACGAAGAACUCCGAUUGCGAAGGCAGGUCUCUGGGCCGCAACCGACGCUGAGGCGCGAAAGCUAGGGGAGCGAACAGG
rnacentral:rRNA from 1 species